UUCGCAAUGCCCGAAAGGGUGACGAUGCGACGCCGCGUGAGCGAAGAAGGCCCUAGGGUUGUAAAGCUCUGUCGAGGGUUAUGAAAUAUAGAUGGGUUAAUACCCCAUUUAUUUGACAAAAGCCCAAAAGGAAGCCACGGCUAACUCUGUGCCAGCAGCCGCGGUAAUACAGAGGUGGCGAGCGUUGUUCGGUAUUGUUGGGCGUAAAGAGCACGUAGGUGGUUUUGUAAGUCAGGUGUGAAAGCCUUCUGUUCAAAGGAAGAACGGCAUCUGAAACUGCAGAUCUUGAGUGUAGGAGGGGAGAGUGGAACUUCUGGUGGAGCGGUGAAAUGCGUAGAUAUCAGAAGGAACGUCGGCGGCGAAAGCGACUCUCUGGCCUAUUACUGACACUGAGUGUGCGAAAGUUAGGGGAGCAAACGGGAUUAGAUACCCCGGUAGUCCUAGCCGUAAACGAUGGGCACUAAGUAGAGGGGUUUU
rnacentral:rRNA from 1 species